rnacentral:rRNA from 1 species
CCUACGGGGGGCAGCAGUCGGGAAUAUUGCGCAAUGGAGGAAACUCUGACGCAGUGACGCCGCGUGCAGGAAGAAGGUUUUCGGAUUGUAAACUGCUUUAGACAGGGAAGAACAAAUGACAGUACCUGUAGAAUAAGCUCCGGCUAACUACGUGCCAGCAGCCGCGGUAAUACGUAGGGAGCAAGCGUUAUCCGGAUUUAUUGGGUGUAAAGGGUGCGUAGACGGGAAGUCAAGUUAGUUGUGAAAUCCCUCGGCUCAACUGAGGAACUGCAACUAAAACUAACUUUCUUGAGUGCUGGAGAGGAAAGUGGAAUUCCUAGUGUAGCGGUGAAAUGCGUAGAUAUUAGGAGGAACACCAGUGGCGAAGGCGACUUUCUGGACAGUAACUGACGUUGAGGCACGAAAGUGUGGGGAGCAAACAGGAUUAGAUACCCCAGUAGUC